UAUGCAGCUAAUAUGUAGUAAAGCAAUGGUAACAUAUGACAAACAUUUGCAUUUACAUCAAGCAGUUUUUUGAAAUGUGCUCACAUCAGUUUUCUUCUUCUCAGAACCGUAACAACCAGUGUUCCUUUCUCGGCUUAUGGGACAUUGAGGUUCAUUCCCCCACCUGCUGUACAAGAAUCAAAGCCUUUCUUUCACCUUCACCAGAUGGAACUGUAACUGGUAUUUCUCUGUCUAAUGCCUGUUUUACAAAAUUAUCAGCAUGGUCAUUGCCUUUUACCGCCUCAUGGGCUGGCCCUAAUC